AUUGAACGCUGGCGGCAGGCCUAACACAUGCAAGUCGAGCGGAUGAAGGGAGCUUGCUCCUGGAUUCAGCGGCGGACGGGUGAGUAAUGCCUAGGAAUCUGCCUGGUAGUGGGGGAUAACGUCCGGAAACGGGCGCUAAUACCGCAUACGUCCUGAGGGAGAAAGUGGGGGAUCUUCGGACCUCACGCUAUCAGAUGAGCCUAGGUCGGAUUAGCUAGUUGGUGGGGUAAAGGCCUACCAAGGCGACGAUCCGUAACUGGUCUGAGAGGAUGAUCAGUCACACUGGGACUGGAAAACGGGCCAAGCUCCCGCGGGAGGCCCUAGGUGGGAAUUUUCCACAAUGGGCCAAAGCCUGCUCCAGCAACGCCCCGUGGGUUAAGAAAGUUUUCCGGUUUUUAAACCCUUUUAUUUUGGAGGAAGGGGUGUAAAUUUAAUUCUGUCCUUUUUGACGGUACCCAACAAAAAAGGCCCGGCCAACUUCGUG
rnacentral:rRNA from 1 species